CUACUAAGAUUUUAUGUGAAGCAUACCAUAUAUUUUAUAGCAUAAAAAUAAAUUUUUAUAUCAAUAUUUAAUAAUUAAAUAUGUAUAACUAUGAUCUAAAUUUUAUACAUCCAUCACAUGCAUUAUGACUCCUUUUAGAUCACUAUCGAUUACAUCUAAUGUAAUAUAUUUUUCAGAUUUUAAAAUAAUUUUAUAUCUGAAUUUAUUUUAUUGUAAUGAGUCAUAAAUUACUUUAGAUCUAAUCUAAACAUAUUUAUGAUCAAAAUAAUUCAUAAAAAUCUAUUCAUUUUUUUCUUCAU
rnacentral:lncRNA from 1 species